ACGAACGCUGGCGGCGUGCCUAAUACAUGCAAGUAGAACGCACAGUUUAUACCGUAGCUUGCUACACCAUAGACUGUGAGUUGCGAACGGGUGAGUAACGCGUAGGUAACCUGCCUGGUAGCGGGGGAUAACUAUUGGAAACGAUAGCUAAUACCGCAUAAUAUUGAUUAUUGCAUGAUAAUUAAUUGAAAGGUGCAAUUGCACCACUACCAGAUGGACCUGCGUUGUAUUAGCUAGUAGGUGAGGUAACGGCUCACCUAGGCGACGAUACAUAGCCGACCUGAGAGGGUGAUCGGCCACACUGGGACUGAGACACGGCCCAGACUCCUACGGGAGGCAGCAGUAGGGAAUCUUCGGCAAUGGACGAAAGUCUGACCGAGCAACGCCGCGUGAGUGAAGAAGGUUUUCGGAUCGUAAAGCUCUGUUGUAAGAGAAGAACGGGUGUGAGAGUGGAAAGUUCACACUGUGACGGUAUCUUACCAGAAAGGGACGGCUAACUACGU
rnacentral:rRNA from 1 species